rnacentral:rRNA from 1 species
UACGUAGGGUGCGAGCGUUGUCCGGAAUUAUUGGGCGUAAAGGGCUCGUAGGCGGUUUGUCGCGUCGGGAGUGAAAUCCACUGGCUUAACUGGUGGCUUGCUUUCGAUACGGGCAGACUGGAGGUAUGCAGGGGAGAACGGAAUUCCUGGUGUAGCGGUGAAAUGCGCAGAUAAUCAGGAGGAACACCGGUGGCGAAGGCGGUUCUCUGGGCAUGUCCUGACGCUGAGGAGCGAAAGUGUGGGGGAGCGAACAGG